GAAACCUCCGCAAUACACGAAAGUGGGACGGGGUUACCCAAAGUGUUCUAUAAAGAACUGUGGUAGGUGAGUAAUGUUCCCUACUAGAAAGGAGAGGGCAAGGCUGGUGCCAGCCGCCGCGGUAAAACCAGCUCUUCAAGUGGUCGGGAUAAUUAUUGGGCUUAAAGUGUCCGUAGCCGGUUUAGUAAGUUCCUGGUAAAAUCGGGUAGCUUAACUGUCCGCAUGCUAGGAAUACUGCUUUACUAGAGGGCGGGAGAGGUCUGAGGUACUACAGGGGUAGGGGUGAAAUCUUAUAAUCCUUGUAGGACCACCAGUGGCGAAGGCAUCAGACUGGAACGCGCCUGACGGUGAGGGGCGAAAGCCAGGGGAGCAAACCGGAUUAGAUACCCGGGUAGUCCUGGCUGUAAACGAUGCAUACUAGGUGACGGCACGGCCAUGAGCCGUGUCGGUGCCGUAGGAAACCAUUAAGUGUGCCGCCUGGGAAGUACGGUCGCAAGGCUAAAACUUAAAGGAAUUGGCGGGGGAGCACCACAAGGGGUGAAGCCUGCGGUUCAAUUGGAUUUCACGCCGGG
rnacentral:rRNA from 1 species